UUUCCGUAGGUGAACCUGCGGAAGGAUCAUUAUCAAUUUACAGCGGACUUCGGUCCUGUCUGCACCCUUGUCUUUUGCGUACUAUAUGUUUCCUCGGUAGGCUUGCCUGCCGAUAGGACACUUAUAAACUCUUUUGUAAUUGCAAUCAGCGUCAGAAAAACUAUAAUAGUUACAACUUUCAACAACGGAUCUCUUGGUUCUG
rnacentral:misc_RNA from 1 species